AUGGCACAAGAGAGCUGGAAGGAGUCUGAGGAGACUGUCCAAACACCUGAGGCACCAAUAUUGUGUGUAAACAACUGCGGCUUCUUCGGUAGCAGCAUGACGAACAACAUGUGCUCCAAGUGCUACAGGGACUUCAUUAAGGCCACGACAAUGGCUGCCCCUGUAGUGGAGAAGGUGUUCUCAGUGGCAUCAUCUUCCAGUGUGACCUUGGAGCAAGCAAAGGCAGAUGAAGUACCAGCCGUGGCUGUAGCUGAUAGCCAAGCAGCACAGGAGCCUCCAAAGCCGCCCAGCAACAGAUGUCUUUCAUGCCGCAAGAAGGUAGGCUUGACCGGUUUCCAGUGCCGGUGCGGGGGAACAUUCUGCUCCAUGCACCGCUACGCUGACUCCCACGAAUGCACUUUCGACUACAAGAAGGCUGGCCGGGAGCAGAUUGCCAAGCAGAACCCUGUUGUGAUAGCCGAGAAGAUCAACAAGAUAUGA
rnacentral:rRNA from 1 species